UACAGGGGUGCAAACGUUGCUCGGAAUUAUUGGGCGUAAAGCGCGCGUAGGCGGCUACCUAAGUCGGAUGUGAAAGCCCCUGGCUUAACUGGGGAAGUGCACCCGAAACUGAGUAGCUAGAGUGCGAAAGAGGGUCGCGGAAUUCCCGGUGUAGAGGUGAAAUUCGUAGAUAUCGGGAGGAACACCGGUGGCGAAGGCGGCGACCUGGGUCGAGACUGACGCUGAGGCGCGAAAGCGUGGGAGCAACAGG
rnacentral:rRNA from 1 species